UACGGGGGGAGCAAGCGUUGUUCGGAUUUACUGGGCGUAAAGGGCGCGUAGGCGGCCAGCACAAGUCAGUUGUGAAAUCUCCGAGCUUAACUCGGAAAGGUCAACUGAUACUGUGCGGCUAGAGUGCGGAAGGGGCAACUGGAAUUCUUGGUGUAGCGGUGAAAUGCGCAGAUAUCAGGAAGAACACCUAUGGCGAAGGCAGCACUCUGGGACGGUACUGACGCUGAGACGCGAAAGCGUGGGGAGCGAACAGG
rnacentral:rRNA from 1 species